GAGAGUCUUUGGCCAAAGCAUAAGAAUAUGACUUAGGAAGUUUGUUCCAAAUCAUAUUCAAUUGAAUCAUAUAGAUAAAUAUCACAUUGGAUAGUAGACAUGAAACAAACUAUCACCUAAAACAAUGUGCUUAAGAGUAUUGAAUUAGAGAAUGACCGUAUUGCAUUGUAGUUGUAACUGGAUAGGUUCUCCAACCACUUCUUCUUAGCUUGGGUAACCAUGAUAUGCUGCUAGGUGUCACUCAUGGUUUGUG
rnacentral:lncRNA from 1 species